AGUGAACGCUGGCGGUAGGCCUAACACACGCAAGUCGAACGGCAGCACAGUAAGAGCUUGCUCUUACGGGUGGCGAGUGGCGGACGGGUGAGGAAUACAUCGGAAUCUACUUUUUCGUGGGGGAUAACGUAGGGAAACUUACGCUAAUACCGCAUACGACCUACGGGUGAAAGCAGGGGAUCUUCGGACCUUGCGCGAUUGAAUGAGCCGAUGUCGGAUUAGCUAGUUGGCGGGGUAAGGGCCCACCAAGGCGACGAUCCGUAGCUGGUCUGAGAGGAUGAUCAGCCACACUGGAACUGAGACACGGUCCAGACUCCUACGGGAGGCAGCAGUGGGGAAUAUUGGACAAUGGGCGCAAGCCUGAUCCAGCCAUACCGCGUGGGUGAAGAAGGCCUUCGGGUUGUAAAGCCCUUUUGUUGGGAAAGAAAAGCAGCAGGUUAAUACCCCGCUGUUCUGACGGUACCCAAAGAAUAAGCACCGGCUAACUUCGUG
rnacentral:rRNA from 1 species